rnacentral:misc_RNA from 1 species
AGUGAACGAAGAGAUGAUCGAGACAUUGUUCGUCUCAAAUUCGACACGGAGGUCGUCGAAGAGUGGAACCAAGGGGCCGAAUUCCAGUCUGUGCAGCCAGGAGAACAAGGUCCUCGACCCAAAGAAAUCACAGGUCCAAAACUAUUUGUGUAUUUUUUUAAGCAGAGAUGGGUCAGCGACGAAUUCUUUCAGAACUGGACCCUCAAAGCAGAGCAGAUUAAGGUGCGGCAUCGGCCUGAGCUCCGGCGAGCUGGUGCUGGAGACGGUGGUCGUCGAGCCCCGCCCACGCUGGUCGCCACCAUCGUAGA